GUGCUCCUACGGGGGCAGCAGUCGAGAAUCAUUCACAAUGGGGGAAACCCUGAUGCAGCAACGCCGCGUGGGUGAAGGAGCGUUUCGGCGCGUAAAGCCCUGUCAGCGGGGAAGAAGAAAGACGGUACCCGACCAAGAAGCCCCGGCUAACUACGUGCCAGCAGCCGCGGUAAUACGUAGGGGGCGAGCGUUAUCCGGAAUUACUGGGUGUGAAGGGAGCGUAGACGGCGAGGUAAGCCUGAAGUGGAAGCCCGCGGCCCAACCGCGGAACUGCUUUGGGAACUGUUUUGCUGGAGUAUGGGAGG
rnacentral:rRNA from 1 species